rnacentral:rRNA from 1 species
UACGAAGGGUGCAAGCGUUACUCGGAAUUACUGGGCGUAAAGCGUGCGUAGGUGGUGAGUUAAGUCUGUCGUGAAAGCCCCGGGCUCAACCUGGGAAUGGCGAUGGAUACUGGCUCGCUAGAGUGCGGUAGAGGAGAGUGGAAUUCCGCGUGUAGCAGUGAAAUGCGUAGAUAUGCGGAGGAACACCGAUGGCGAAGGCAAUCCCCUGGGCCUGCACUGACGCUCAUGCACGAAAGCGUGGGGAGCAAACAGG